AACGUACGCUGGCGGCACGCUUAACACAUGCAAGUCGAACGAAGUAGCAAUACUUAGUGGCAGACGGGUGAGUAACAUGUGGGUAUCUGCCCUUUGGCCUGGAAUAACACGAGGAAACUUGUGCUAAUACCGGAUAAGUCUUUACGGAGAAAGCUUUAUGCACCAUUGGAUGAGCCCGCACUUGAUUAGUUUGUUGGUGGGGUAAUGGCCUACCAAGACUGUGAUCAAUAGCUGAUUUGAGAGGAUGAUCAGCCACAUUGGGACUGAGACACGGCCCAAACUCCUACGGGAGGCAGCAGUGGGGAAUCUUGCACAAUGGAGGAAACUCUGAUGCAGCGAUGCCGCGUGAGUGAAGAAGGCCCUUGGGUUGUAAAGCUCUUUCGUCGGGGAAGAAAAUGACUGUACCCGAAUAAGAAGGUCCGGCUAACUUCGUGCCAGCAGCCGCGGUAAUACGAAGGGACCUAGCGUAGUUCGGAAUUACUGGGCUUAAAGAGUUCGUAGGUGGUUGAAAAAGUUAGUGGUGAAAUCCCAGAGCUUAACUCUGGAACUGCCAUUAAAACUUUUCAGCUAGAGUAUGAUAGAGGAAAGCAGAAUUUCUAGUGUAGAGGUGAAAUUCGUAGAUAUUAGAAAGAAUACCAAUUGCGAAGGCAGCUUUCUGGAUCAUUACUGACACUGAGGAACGAAAGCAUGGGUAGCGAAGAGGAUUAGAUACCCUCGUAGUCCAUGCCGUAAACGAUGUGUGUUAGACGUUGGAAAUUUAUUUUCAGUGUCGCAGCGAAAGCGAUAAACACACCGCCUGGGGAGUACGACCGCAAGGUUAAAACUCAAAUGAAUUGACGGGGACCCGCACAAGUAGUGGAGCAUGUGGUUUAAUUCGAAGAUACGCGCAGAACCUUACCAACACUUGACAUGUUCGUCGCGACUCUAAGAGAUUAGAGUUUUCGGUUCGGCCGGACGAAACACAGGUGCUGCAUGGCUGUCGUCAGCUCGUGUCGUGAGAUGUUGGGUUAAGUCCCGCAACGAGCGCAACCCUCACUUUUAGUUGCCAUCAUUAAGUUGGGCACUCUGAAAGAACUGCCAGUGAUAAGCUGGAGGAAGGUGGGGAUGACGUCAAGUCCUCAUGGCCCUUACGUGUUGGGCUACACACGUGCUACAAUGGUAUCUACAACAGGAAGCAAGACUGCGAGGUCAAGCAAAUCUUUAAAAGAUACCUCAGUUCGGAUUGCACUCUGCAACUCGAGUGCAUGAAGCUGGAAUUACUAGUAAUCGUGGAUCAGCGUGCCACGGUGAAUGCGUUCCCGGGUCU
rnacentral:rRNA from 1 species